UGUACCAACGGAUGGGUACAGGCGGUCACGGAAGACUGCUCACGGACAUCGCAGGAUGCGAUUCAUCAGGAUGAUGGAAAAGGAAUGAAGGGAUUACGGAAAAUGUGGGCGGGUCAAACCGCCCCUUUUUCU
rnacentral:sRNA from 1 species